rnacentral:misc_RNA from 1 species
ACCGAAGCCUGUAACCGCCUCCGGGCGUGACGGGUGGCUGGUAUCCUCCUUCUGAGGGGUGUAUGUUGCAGCUUGGGCCGGCCCUUAGGGGUCGCGAAUCCCCAAGACUGCGGCGGACCAUCCCUUGGGCAACUCAGUGGGGGCAAUUGGAUGGCUCGUAGGCAUCUUCGGCGGCUUCGGCCCUGGAGGUGGCUCGGGCCGGGUGCUGGGCUUCGGUUCACGUCCCGACCUUUUAACUAGCUCUGAUACCUCUUCAUUGAGGGCUGCCGGGGAGGUCUUUCGCUCCUCGAGGCGGAAGGCCUACCCGGGGGAAGAUAGUUACCUGGUUGAUUCUGCCAGUAGUCAUAUGCUUGUCUCAA